rnacentral:rRNA from 1 species
GAUGAGAUCUCCUAGCAGAAAUGUGAGAGACCCCUUAGAGACGAUGAGGUAGAUAGGGCAGGGGUGGAAGUACAGCGAUGUAUGGAGCUGACUGCUACUAAUCGGUCGAAAGCUUGACCACAA